UUUGGCCGGCUUGAGGACAGAUAAGAUACUAAUAUAAGAGUACAGAGAGUACAAAUGCUUACAAAUAAAUUAUCAGCUGAGCCGGCUGAGAGAGAGUUCAUGUAUAUAUGUGUGUGGAUCAUAAAAAGCUAAGAGAAGAAGAGGGAGCGUACAGCCUUGGUGAAAAGGGUAGUAGGCGUCGCAAGUACUUCCACCAUCUAACAACUAAACCGCCCAAAGCUGUACUCUCUCUCUUCUCCAUUUAGCCUUCACGAUAUGAUCGUCUAUCGAUCUCCUUCUCUUAGUUGCUCUAGAAGUUGGAUCCCUCUGGGUUUAU
rnacentral:precursor_RNA from 1 species